UCUGCUAAGGGGAGGGGUCUGGGGA
rnacentral:misc_RNA from 1 species